GAGGGUAUAGCUCAGUGGUAGAGUGUGUGCCUAGCAUGCAUGAGGUCCUGGGUUCAAUCCCCACUACCUCCA
rnacentral:tRNA from 1 species